AUUUGCGCGGGACGACCCCUGACUCUUAAUCAGCGGGUCGAAGGUUCGAGUCCUUCGGGGG
rnacentral:tRNA from 1 species